ensembl:snRNA U6 U6 spliceosomal RNA
GUGUUCACUUUGGCAGCAUAUACACUCAAAUUGGAAUGAUACAGAAAAGAUGACCAUGGCCUCCCUGCAAGGAUGAUACACAUAUUUGUGAGUUGUUCCUUGUUUUU